ensembl:misc_RNA Metazoa_SRP Metazoan signal recognition particle RNA
GCUGGGCAUGGUAGCGGGCGCCUGUAAUCCCAGCUACUUGGGAGGCUGAGGCAGGAGAAUUGCUUGAGCCCGGGAGGCAGAGGUUGCAGUGUGCCGAGAUUGCACCACUGCACUCCUGCCUGGACAACAGAGUGAGACUCUGUCUCAA